UUUCUCCUUCUUUCCUCUCACAAUCACAACGUUCUCUUCUUCACUUCAGUCCCAACAUAGUUUGACAAUCAUCCAUCUAGUUCAUCUCUUAUUUUUCAUUUUCUCGAGUUUCUCCAUUCAAACUGUUGUCGAAUUAGUUCGAGAAUCAAUCCUUUUGUGCCCAACAUAGUUUGACAAUCAUCCAUCAAGUUCAUCUCUAAUUUUUCGUUUUCUCUAGUUGCUCCAUUCAAACUGUUGCCAAAAUAGUUCGAGAAUCAAUCCUUCAGUAGGCGCUGCCAAAAAGUGCUAGCGCAACCCUAAAUAGACGCGACACCACAACAACUCCUCCCUUUCAUCUUUAUCAUCAGAAAAAGGUCUCAGUUACAUAUGGUAACCAUCACAACAUUGCUCCUUUGUCAUCAUUUAGUAUGGAAAGUUCUUGUUUAUGUGAUUUCGAAGUCCUUUCUCGACUUAUGUAUCUACCAAGGCUUGGAUAUAGCUUAGAUGGAGGGACAUAGAUAGUGAAGAUUUAUAUAACCAGCCUCAAUAUUGCUUGAGUGAGGUUCAUAACAAAAUUACGUGUUGGGCCCAUGCAAAGUACGGGAUACAUAUCUAGUGUCUACUACAUAGAAGAGGCAGUGCUAGGAUGACCAAGGGUAAGGAUGUAAAUAUGCACAUUAUUGAGGGAAAAAUGGUCAUUAUGUCUGGCUGAUAUUUACCUAUCUUCAUCACAAAAUCAAACCAACAAGUCUUUUGCCGACUCUCAUAUUUAAGUAUAGUCCUAAGCUAAUUCAGGUAUGUUCUUGAGUAUGGUCCUAAGCCAAUUCAGGUCUGUUCUUGAGUUCCAAGUUCUCUCUUUUCUUUUGAAACUCAGAUUUUGCAUACUUUUUCUUUUUUUCAUCAUUGUCAUCACCGUCUUUUUGUUUUUCUAGCAUAGUUCGAUGUCGUUCUUAAUAGUGUUAAGAUGUAAAAUAGAAAAUUUACCGGCACUUUUGUUGAUGAUGACAGUGUUACUGUGGUGGACCUAUUACUGUGAAAAAACAAUUCCGUGGUGUAAUAUUUAAGUAUGGUCCUAAGCCAAUUCAGGUUAUUGAUGAAAUUUCUGUGGCUGGUACAACGUAUAAAAUAAUGGAAUUUGUCGGUACUGCUGUUGAAAGUUUAAUAGUAAGUUUGUUGGAAGUAAUUGAGUUACUUUAUUCUGACUUAUUAAUAUCUCCUUGCAUUAUGUUUUCUAAAGAUGGAAGAGGGAAUGGCAUUAUGCAAUAUGGUUAUUAAA